rnacentral:rRNA from 1 species
UUCCGGUUGAUCCUGCCGGAGGCCAUUGCUAUUGGAGUCCGAUUUAGCCAUGCUAGUUGUACGAGUUCAGACUCGUAGCAGAUAGCUCAGUAACACGUGGCCAAACUACCCUGUCGAGCGGUCCAACCUCGGGAAACUGAGGCUAAUUCCGCAUACGACUCUCAGGCUGGAACUGCAGAGAGUUCGAAACGCUCCGGCGCGACAGGAUGUGGCUGCGGCCGAUUAGGUAGACGGUGGGGUAACGGCCCACCGUGCCAGUAAUCGGUACGGGUUGUGAGAGCAAGAGCCCGGAGACGGUAUCUGAGACAAGAUACCGGGCCCUACGGGGCGCAGCAGGCGCGAAACCUUUACACUGCACGCCAGUGCGAUAAGGGGACUCCAAGCGCGAGGGCAUAGCGCCCUCGCUUUUCUGAACCGUAAGGUGGUUCAGGAACAAGUGCUGGGCAAGACCGGUGCCAGCCGCCGCGGUAAUACCGGCAGCACGAGUGAUGGCCGCUGUUAUUGGGCCUAAAGCGUCCGUAGCUGGCCAGGCAAGUCUAUCGGGAAAUCUCCCCGCUUAACGGGGAGGCGUCCGGUGGAAACUGCCUGGCUUGGGACCGGAAGAUCCAGAGGGUACGUCCGGGGUAGGAGUGAAAUCCCGUAAUCCUGGACGGACCACCGGUGGCGAAAGCGCUCUGGAAAGACGGAUCCGACGGUGAGGGACGAAAGCUCGGGUCACGAACCGGAUUAGAUACCCGGGUAGUCCGAGCUGUAAACGAUGUCUGCUAGGUGCGCCACAGGCUACGAGCCUGUGGUGUGCCGUAGGGAAGCCGUGAAGCAGACCGCCUGGGAAGUACGUCCGCAAGGAUGAAACUUAAAGGAAUUGGCGGGGGAGCACUACAACCGGAGGAGCCUGCGGUUUAAUUGGAUUCAACGCCGGG